rnacentral:tRNA from 1 species
GGGAUUAUAGCUCAAAGGAUUAGAUCAUGUGGUUGCAAACCAUGGUGUUUAAGGGUUCAAAUCCCUCUUUAUCACA